AUGGAGCCCGGCCGCGAGCCCACCGGCACGAUCGUCUUCGCCUCCGUCGGGGUCACCAGCUUCGGCUUCGACGUCUUCUCCGUCGCCGCCCCGCAGACUCCGGAGAGCGCGUCCGCCGAGGGGCUGGCUGAGCGCCGCCACACGGACGGCGUCUCCAUCAACUUCAACGCCCAGUUCGCGGAUGAGGGCGGCGAGGAGGUGGCGUUCGUGUCCGAGCGCACCGGCUCGGCGGGCCUCUUCCUGUGCCGCCCCGGGUCCGACCGCGCCGUGCCGCUGCCGGCCGUCGAGGGGAGCCUGUUCCACGACCGCCCCACCGUGAGAGGCGGCCGGCUGUACUUCGUCUCCGCGCACGAGAAGCCGGAUGGGUGGUUCAGGAGCUGGGCCGCGGUGUACGCGACGGACCUGGGCAGCGAGGAGACGGUGCGGGUGACGCCGCGGGGCGUGGCGGACAUGAGCCCCGCCGUCUCCGUGUCCGGCGAGCUCCUCGCCGUCGCGUCAUAG
rnacentral:rRNA from 1 species